rnacentral:lncRNA from 1 species
GAUACUUCCAGCGCCCUUGGAUCUAUUUGAAAUGUUAUAAUCCUGGCCAUUGUUCUUGUUGACUAGUUUUAAAUGCUUAAGUUGCGCGCUUGACUCCUGAACACCAUAUGGCCGCACCUUUGAGCCGUGUGAUGGAGCCACGUCAUUUAAUGAAUCAGAUCCAAGCGCUCCUGAUUUUUGUUAUUUUCUAUUUUCUGUUUUAUUUUCUUUUAAUUUCUUUUA